UUCUACGGACUGAGCGGGCUCUGAAUGUGCCCAAUCUCGUCUGAUCUCGCAAGCUAAGCAGGGUCAGGCCUGGUUAGUACUUGGAUGGGAGACUUCCUGGGAAUACUGGGUGCUGUAGGCU
rnacentral:rRNA from 1 species